rnacentral:piRNA from 1 species
GAUUGUCUUGUUAGCAUUCCUUACC